rnacentral:rRNA from 1 species
GACGAACGCUGGCGGCGUGCUUAACACAUGCAAGUCGCGCGGAGCGGCGAACGGGUGAGUAACGCGUGAGUAACUGCCCCCCUCUCUGGGAUAACAGUUGGAAACGGCUGCUAAUACCGGAUAGUGGGGGAUGACUCGCGUCCAAUCAGCUUGUUGGGGGGGUAGUGGCCUACCAAGGCGACGACGGGUAGACUGCCUGAGAGGGCGACCGGCCACAUGGGGCUGAGAUACGGCCCAGACUCCGACGGUAGGCAGCAGGUGGGAAUAUUGCACAAUGGGGGAAACCCUGAGGCAGCAGCGCCGGGUGCGGGAUGACGGCCUUCGGGUUGGAAACCGCUUGCAGCCAUGACGCGGUAGUGGCAGAAGAAGCACCGGCUAACUACGUGCCAGCAGCCGCGGUAAUUC